UCUGUGCAUGGAGAUAUCUGGAGAAGGUUUCUUUAGCACUCUGUCUAUAUGAUAUAUCUUUUCUGCCCCAUAGAGUAGCAUUAUCAAGAGAAGUGUAUAAAGGAAGCGAUCUCCUGAGACCACAGAGUUUAACUCAUAUUUAACUUCUAGGAGGUUACUCUAGUUGGUGUCAAAUUGACAAAAUCUAACCAGCACACUUUUCCACCCUCCAUCCAUCCCCCCAGAAUGUCUUCUCCUCCUGGACAGAUCUUAAACUCUUGGGCUAAAGUAAUACUCCUGCCUCAUGUCUCCAACACAGUGAGAGCAUGCAUCAGACCAUGGAACCCUGCCGUCAACGUAUCAUUCUGAAUGAACAAGGAGCCAAGGAAUCCUGCACAGCAACUGUGAGACAAGAUUGAAUCUUUUCUGCCAUCAGGGUUUCUUUCAG